AGUGAACGCUGGCGGUAGGCCUAACACAUGCAAGUCGAACGGCAGCACAGUAAGAGCUUGCACUUACGGGUGGCGAGUGGCGGACGGGUGAGGAAUACAUCGGAAUCUACUUUUUCGUGGGGGAUAACGUAGGGAAACUUACGCUAAUACCGCAUACGACCUACGGGUGAAAGCAGGGGAUCUUCGGACCUUGCGCGAUUGAAUGAGCCGAUGUCGGAUUAGCUAGUUGGCGGGGUAAAGGCCCACCAAGGCGACGAUCCGUAGCUGGUCUGAGAGGAUGAUCAGCCACACUGGAACUGAGACACGGUCCAGACUCCUACGGGAGGCAGCAGUGGGGAAUAUUGGACAAUGGGCGCAAGCCUGAUCCAGCCAUACCGCGUGGGUGAAGAAGGCCUUCGGGUUGUAAAGCCCUUUUGUUGGGAAAGAAAAGCAGCAGGUUAAUACCCCGCUGUUCUGACGGUACCCAAAGGAUAAGCACCGGCUAACUUCGUG
rnacentral:rRNA from 1 species